rnacentral:miRNA from 2 species
UCUGUCAUUUCUUUAGGCCAAUA